rnacentral:lncRNA from 1 species
AUUUAAAAGCACAGAAUCAAGAAGAUCAGAAAACAGUUUAAGACUUGGUAGCUUCAAAAAACUAUCACGUUUACAUUGUUAUUAUUCUUUGCUUAAUGGCACACCUCUGUCCUGUGACAGAAUUUUCCCCAGAUGAGGAGGAGCCAGAGACCUUUUGGGAGGGGAUGUUUGUGGUUCCACAGUGAAAGCAAGUUGCUCUUCCUGUGAUUUCUGAAGAAGGAAAAAGCCCUUAUGUUUGGUGGAGAAUGUACAAAUGUAUCGGGAUACAGAUCCACUUCUUGUAAUAUAGUGCAUUCUAACAAUUCCAAAGAAAGGAAACUGGGUAUUUUGUCUCAGCAAGGAGAGAAGAGUAACCAACACAAACAGUGAAUGAAAAGAAAAAGACUCUUUCAUCCCCUAUAUCCUAUGAUGUAAUUUCCAUGGUGAUAUUUCCUCUCAUCUGUAAAAAGAACUCCAUUUCAUCAUAACAUUAUUUGCUUUCUGCUUGAACUUUCUCUAUGCAGAUGGUACAGUGUUCUGCUGAGGAGUCAGACCACUGCCCAUAUAAGAGUGUGGACUGUUUCCAUUUUAACACCAACACCUCUCUCUGAUGAUUUCUGCCACAUGCCUAUCAUCAGGAGAUAAUGUGCAGCUGACCCUAAGAUCUUGAUCUAGGUCCAUUUGACCCAGCCUGUGGGGUCUGUGACCUCCACUUAAAAAGAAAAGUUAGACAGUAGACAUUGUGAUUAGUUAACUGUCAGCUGUCCCAAGUUCUAUAAUUUCUUGUUCCUUUGUGUCUGCAGUGAAAAGGAAAAAAAAGGAACUGUGAUUUUCACUACUUUAUUGUAAGCUGUAUUGAUGGUGGCAGUGGCGGUGUCUGGAAUGAAUCAUGUUCUGGAGAUGUUCAAGCUCUAUUUGCUGUCUUCUGAGUUCAGCAAUUGCCUUUGCCUUUUA